AGCGAGAAAACACAGGAGCAUUUUCAUUUUUGAUCCUUGUUUUAUUGAGAAUACUUUGACAGGGGGGCGUGGAGCCCGUCUGUUCAGAUCAGGACUUAUGCUGUGAGCGUUUAACAACUCUGACCACCUCCCCGAAUCCAUUCGUAAGACUGAGCAUGUUUGUCGUUGAGAUUCAUUUCAUCUUUCACUGCCUGCACACUAGCCUCUACAUUCAUUACUGUAUGCGCGUUUGUGCGUAAGUGAACAGUGUUUUUGUCCAGGUUUCCAUCUGACUUAUUACGGCCUGGUGUGACCUUUUACAUCCUACAUCCACGCAACAUGACUGAAGCAGAGAAGCGCAGAGAAGCCGCCAUCAACAAGUGUAAAUAAGUAAGUUAGAUCAAUUCAUAUCACACUUUUCCAAUGGUCACAUAAAGGGGUGAAAAAGUAAGAGAUUAUUAAAAGCUAUUAGGAGUAGAGGCCAGGCCUCCAUCAAGACUGAAAAAUUCAAGCAAACAUUUUUUUACUCAAUUCAGUGCUGCCUUGAGAAACUUGAUUUGUUUUAUGAGCAUACUUGUGACUCAAAACACUUGUAUCGAAAAUCAUCUUUUUCUCUUAAAAUAAAUGGAAAAUGGGGAAAACAGUAACACAAAUGUGGGGAAAAAAUACAUUUUAAAAACAUACAGACAUAAUCAAAUGUAAGGAAAUCCAAUGGCUGUAUUUCAUGCUUCAAUUCAAUGGAUAUUGUGUUGUUUCUUCUGGUAUCCAUGUCUUGGCCACCUAGGAGCAGCGCAAAAUACAAAUGCUGUACAGAUAUCUAUGGACGUGAUCAAGUCUAAGUAAGCCCCAGUUGUUCCACGCAGAGGAUCAAGAAUACAUGCCCGCCUUUUAUGUUGAUUAUCAUACAAGAAAAGAGACCAAAAGACAUUCAGGAUCACCGCAGGACUCGAAGAGCCUUCAAUUCCCUCUUUUAGGGCAGCAGGCUAUGAGAUCAUGGAGUCUGUGACCAGAGUGAAGAAGUCUCUCCGUGUGCCCAUCAGGAAGCUCAGCAGCUGUGUGAGCAGCAUCACCAACAGGAAGUUGUGUGCCAAACGUCGGUACCACAGAACUAGGCUUGGUGCAGGAAAAGGAGGCUGCGGAAGGUCAGCAAAGGCUCCUCAUCGACGGACAGUCAACACCAAAUAUCCAUCGGUGGUUCGCUCCUACCAUGCUGACUUGGAGAAGGAGAGGCAAGUGCAAGCACACCAGUGAUGUUUCCAUCAUCUUUACUCUUUAGCUUACCUUAGAAAUAUUAUUAAUGACUAGAAAGGCGACUGGUUAGCACAUCUGGCGCACAAGUUCCAAUGUGAUCUCACCUGUGUGGAGUUUGCAUGUUCUCCCCAUGCCUGGCAGUGAUGUCCUCCACUUUCCGCCCAUAUCCCAAAAGCAUGCAUUAAUUGGAGACUCUUAAUUGCGCACCUGCUAGAGAUGAUG